UGCCCGGUGGUGUAGUGGUAGCACAGCGGACUUUGAAUCCGUUAACCCUGGUUCGAAUCCAGGCCGGGCAGCCA
rnacentral:tRNA from 1 species